rnacentral:rRNA from 1 species
CACUCCUGCGGGAGGCAGCAGUGGGGAAUUUUGGACAAUGGGCGAAAGCCUGAUCCAGCCAUGCCGCGUGCAGGAUGAAGGCCUUCGGGUUGUAAACUGCUUUUGUACGGAACGAAACGGCCUUUUCUAAUAAAGAGGGCUAAUGACGGUACCGUAAGAAUAAGCACCGGCUAACUACGUGCCAGCAGCCGCGGUAAUACGUAGGGUGCAAGCGUUAAUCGGAAUUACUGGGCGUAAAGCGUGCGCAGGCGGUUAUGUAAGACAGUUGUGAAAUCCCCGGGCUCAACCUGGGAACUGCAUCUGUGACUGCAUAGCUAGAGUACGGUAGAGGGGGAUGGAAUUCCGCGUGUAGCAGUGAAAUGCGUAGAUAUGCGGAGGAACACCGAUGGCGAAGGCAAUCCCCUGGGCCUGUACUGACGCUCAUGCACGAAAGCGUGGGGAGCAAACAGGAUUAGAAACCCCGGUAGUCCCAUG